GCCUGAUAGGUGCUGUGUUUAAAAUAGCAAGACAAGAAUGACUGUAAAGGGAUAAGUGUAUAUAAUAUAGAUAUGUGUGUGUUUCCAUUUUCAAAAGGAAGAGUGGGGCUUAGAAAAAAGCAAGCAACAUUACAUUGGAUAUGCAAGGAAACUUGUUCGGAUCAAGAAAGCAGCAUGUAUUUGUAGAGCGCAGAAAAACAGAUCCACCAUCUGGUACAAGCAUUCUUUAUUCAAAACAAUGAAAAUAAUCCAAUACUUAAAUAUGUAUUUCUAUAAAUGUUGAAUGAAAACAACAUAACUCUUGCAUGAAUCACAUUUUGUAUGAAACAAGACCAUUCAAAACUGAAUGAUGAAAUAUUCUUGCAAAUGUUGUUGAACUGUCACUAUAAUGUUGUUCGCUUAUACUUUUGAUCAGUACUGAUGGAACCUUUCGGUUUUCCUUCCAGUCAUUCCGGUACCUAUCGAACAAAGUUCUGAUCAGCUGUGUAGCGAUACUGUCUAAACAAAAUAAAUGCCAUAAACAUGUGAUUGAACAUCUUCUUGGUAUGAAGGCAAACAAUAAAUACUAUAUUGGUGUAAAUUGAUUUCACUAAAUUUGUAUUCCAUGCUCGGGUCUCAGUCAAGAAUAUCAUAUUUGCAACAUGUCACGGUUGGCUGACUGCCAAAUUUAUUUAAGUUUAAAUAUCUAUGUUUCUUUGCUUCAUUGAGUUUUUUUACGUGGCAAUCUCAGUUUAUUCUUGGCGCAUAAUUUUGAUUUCAUUUAAGUAAAGGAUUGGCACUAGAGGUCAGAGGUUACAUUCUCUACGUGAUUACCCACGAUUGUGUGUACACGAUUGUUUGUAUUAUUAUUUGCAACUUUUAAACGCCGAAAAUUCAGUUACCGCAUGAAUUACAACCAAACGAAGCUGGUUAGCAUAAUAAAGCGCGUCCAACUGAAGUGCGUAUAAGGAGUGCCGAGUCCU